UUUUGGGACGGAGAUAUAUCUGUGUCCAAUAUUUGAUCGUCCAUCUUAUUUAAAUCUUUUCAAUAAUUAGUAUUUUUGUUGUCAUUAGAUGAUAAAACAUGAAUAAUACUCUAUACGAGACUUAUUUUUAAAUUUUUUUAUAAUGUUUUUAAUAAAACGAACAGUUAAAAAUUAGAUAAAAAACACACACAAAUGAACCUAUU
rnacentral:pre_miRNA from 1 species